AGGGCUACAGACCUCAGGGACGCCCGUAGCCGGGCAGGAAAUAGAUGGGGAAUACCGGUGCAAAUCCGGAGCGGUACCGCCACUGUAAGCAGGAUAUCCUGCAAGCCAGAAAACCAGCCUCAGGGGGUUGUCCAAA
rnacentral:ncRNA from 2 species